rnacentral:rRNA from 1 species
CCUACGGGAGGCAGCAGUGGGGAAUCUUGGUCAAUGGGCGCGAGCCUGAACCAGCAACGCAGCGUGAAGGAAGACUGCCUUCCGGUUUUUAAACUCUUUUUAUAAAGGAAUAAAGUGUGGCACGUGUCCCUUUAUGUAUGUACUGUAUGUAUAAGGAUAGCCUAACUCCGUGCCAGCAGCCGCGGUAAUUCGGAGGAUCCGAGCGUUAUCCGGAUCGAUUGGGUGUAAAGGGAGCGUAGAUGGGUUGUUAAGUCAGUUGUGAAAGUUUGCGGCUGAACCGGAAUAUUGCAGUUGAUACUGGCAGUCUUGAGUACAGUUGAGGUAGGCGGAAGUCGUGGUGUAGCGGUGAAAUGCUUAGAUAUCACGAGGAACUCCGAUUGCGAAGGCAGCUUGCUGAACUGCCACUGACACUGAGGCUCGAAAGUGUGGGUAUCAAACAGGAUUAGAUACCCCUGUAGGC